GCCUAAAAGUAUAGCCCACUAACAACUGAUGAACCUUCACACUUUAUCUUUUUAAUUAAAACAUUUUACAGGUUUAGUAAAGGAGAUUGAAAAACCUCUUAGGAGCAUAAAGGUACCGCAAGGGAAAAUUGAAAUAAAAAUGAAAUAAUUAUUAAGCACAAAAUAGUAGAGACUGACUCUCGUACCUUUUGCAUCAUGGUUUAACAAGUCUAAUCAAGCACAAUGACUUAUAGUUUGAUCUCCCGAAACUAAGUGAGCUACUUCAGGGCAGCUUAUUGAGCAAACCCGUCUCUGUUGCAAAAGAGUGGCAAGACCCUCAAGUAGAAGUGACAAGCCUAACGAACUUAGUGAUAGCUGGUUACUCAAGAAAAAGAUUUUAGUCCCACCUAAAGCUUUAAUAAUUUAACAAAAUAAAAUUUCAACUUUAGAGUAAUUCAAAUAGGGUACAGCCUAUUUGAAACAGGAUACAACCUAAACUAAUGGGUAACACUACAUUCACGUAAUCAAGUGG
rnacentral:rRNA from 1 species